GGGACCGAUUCCUACGGGAGGCAGCAGUGGGAUCUUGCGCAUGGCGAAGCCUGACGCAGCGACGCCGCGUGAGGAGAGCCUUCGGUGUAACUCUUCAGAGGACGAGCUACUCUGUGACAGCCCAGAGUGACGUACCUCCAGAAGAAGCCCCGCUAACUACGUGCCAGCAGCCGCGGUAUACGUAGGGGGCGAGCGUUGUCCGAUUUACUGGGCGUAAAGCGCGUGUAGGCGGCCACGCAGGUCCGUUGUGAAAACUGGAGGCUCAACCUCCAGACGUCGACGGAAACCGUGUGGCUAGAGUCCGGAAGAGGAGAGUGGAAUUCCUGGUGUAGCGGUGAAAUGCGCAGAUAUCAGGAAGAACACCAAUGGCGAAGGCAGCUCUCUGGGACGGUACUGACGCUGAGACCGAAAGCGUGGGGAGCGAACAGGAUUAGAUACCCUGGUAGUCCACGCCGUAAACGAUGCGGACUGGACGUUGGGCUCAACUAGGAGCUCAGUGUCGAAGCUAACGCGUUAAGUCCGCCGCCUGGGGAGUACGGUCGCAAGACUGAAACUCAAAGGAAUUGACGGGGGCCCGCACAAGCGGUGGAGCAUGUGGUUCAAUUCGACGCAACGCGAAGAACCUUACCCGGGCU
rnacentral:rRNA from 1 species